CGGGCGCGUGCGCGCGCAGCACCGCGGCAACCGGGAGCGGCGGCGGCUUUGCCACCCCCGACAUGUCUCGAGAGAGCGGGAGCGAAGCGCAGCCGCCGCAGGGCGCCCCGCAGUCCCAGAGCGGUGCCAGCUCCUCCUCCGGGGGGUCCCAAGGCACCAGCCAGUCUUCCUCCAGCUCGGGGACACUCAGUUCUUUGGACACUGUUCCUACCCAGGAGCUUCCAUCCAUCCCUGAGGACCAGGAAUCUGAAGAGCUUAUUUCUCAGCCGUGGGGUCGCCUCUUUGCACUCGGGAAAGGUUUCAGCAACUGGGACUGCGUGAAUGAUGAAUACUGGUUCGGAAGAGACAAAAGCUGUGACUAUAGUUUUUCUAAGCUAGGACUGUCUGAGACUGGCUUCUACCAGAACUAUAGCAAGAAGCACUUCCGAAUUUUCAGGGAAAUGGGUCCAAGAAGUUCACAUGUUGCCUACAUUGAAGACCACAGUGCAAAUGGAACCUUUGUUAACAGAGAGCUCAUUGGAAAAGGGAAGAGGCUUCCACUGACUCACAACUCUGAAAUUGCACUGUCUGUACAGACUAAUAAGGUGUUUGUAUUUUCUGAUCCUAUGGUGGAUGAUCAGUUGGUGUUUCCUCGAGAAUUCAGAGAGAAAUAUAUCAUGUCCAAGACUUUGGGAAGUGGUGCCUGUGGAGAAGUCAAACUGGCGUUUGAGAAGAGCACUUGUAACAAAGUUGCAGUGAAGAUCAUCAAUAAACGGAAGUUUCUGGCGAGUGGGAUUGAGGCAAAUCCAGCUUUUAAUAUCAAUACUGAAAUUGAAAUUUUGAAGAAAAUAGAUCAUCCUUGCUUAAUCAAGAUCAAAAACUUCUUUGAAGCAGAGGAUUACUACAUUGUGUUGGAACUGAUGGAAGGAGGAGAAUUGUAUGACAGAGUGUCAAGGCCAGUCAAGAUGAAAGAAGCUACCUGCAAGUUGUAUUUUUAUCAGAUGCUGCUGGCUGUAAAGUAUCUUCAUGACAAUGGAAUUAUACACCGAGAUUUAAAGCCAGAGAAUGUGCUGCUUUCAUCCUCUGAAGAGACAUGUCUGAUAAAGAUUACAGAUUUUGGACAAUCCAAGAUUCUUGGAGAAACGUCUCUUAUGAAAACUUUAUGUGGUACUCCCACGUAUCUUGCUCCUGAGGUUCUAAAUUCACUUGGGACUGCUGGAUACAGCCGAGCUGUGGACUGCUGGAGUUUAGGAGUUAUUCUUUUUGUAUGCUUGUGUGGCUAUCCACCAUUCAAUGAGCAGAAUACUCAACUGUCUCUGAGAGAUCAAAUCACUCGUGGAGAAUACACGUUCAUUUCAAAAGAAUGGAAGCAUGUGUCACACCUGGCUCUGGAUCUUGUGAAGAAGCUGUUAGUAGUGGAUCCAAGCAAGCGUCUUACAACUGAGGAAGCCUUAGAGCAUCCUUGGCUUCAGUUCUAGAUACCACACACGUUGAAUACUACAACCCAAAGAGCAACUUGAAUCCUGUUACUGUGAGUAGUGAGAAGGAGUUACUGGCUCCCCACUCCCUCUUGUGUUGUCUGUAAGUAUUGUCUUUAAAAGUUAGUAUGGAAAAACCACAACAGAGCAUGAGGUGCCAUGCUAAUGCCUGUUAGCCCUCUCUAACGAAUUUGGGUCCACUAGAGAAUUUUUCAGAUACUAAAAGCAAGCAUGUGCUCCAAACAGAACAAUUUCUACAGCUUUAUUUAAACCAGUAGUGCUUUCAAAUUAGUGUUUUAAAUACCUGUGCUGCUUACUCCAUUCUUUGCGUAAAUCUAAGACUUUAAAACUUAGUGAGCUACUUAAACCUAAGUACAGUGGAGAUGUCUUACCUAUAUUUACCAGGUCUUAAUAAAACAUUUUUCAAAGGCAUAUAAACAAUUAAUUUCUGUUUCUUCCUCUGAAAACUUCACUGGGAUUAGAGUGGGACAAGAUCAGGUUGGUUGCAUGCUGAAGAAAAACUCAGGUGUUUGUUACAUAAAUGGAAAAAUGUUUAUCUUAUCUUGCCCAUCAACUCAAACAGGUGACACUGGAAAAGAAAGUCAAGUCCCAAUUCUAUAUAAAAUAAACUGGACAUUCACAUCAAAGCCUUUUUGUAGCACUUCAGAACAUAGUUAAACCAAAAAAGGAGAUACUGCAAUACUCUGUGGCUUUGAAAAAGAACCCCCUCCUCUGCCUUCACCCCCAAAAAACAGUUGAAACAUUUGAAAUCCUUUGGAGCUAAAUGAUCCUUAUUUCUAAUUGUCUCUAGCAGUGGAUUCCUAUUCAUUCACUUUGAGUUUCCCAAUCUGUGCUGUGAUAAUAGAACCAAAUUACGCAACCUGGUAGCUUCAGUCUGUUGUUUAGAAUAAAUGUCUGGGUUUUGGUUCUAGAUCAGUUGUUAAGUUGGCGAACAUACAGCCACAGCUCAGCCAAAGGAAAUGAUCUCUGUGAAAUCAGAAUGAGCAGCACUCUUCAUUUAGUCCUGGGAAAGGUUUAAAGACCCGAUUUCAGAUUUGGAAGUCUGAUUUAGGGUUUACAGGUAAUCCAUCGCAACCCAUUCUAAUAAAAUUCCUGCAGGAGAAAUUGCUGAAACUGGAGAACGAGAUUUCUAUUUAAAACAGGGCGUAUACUAUGUCAACUAACCGACUUGUGGGACUGAUGUCCUGCUCCCUGAGGUUGCCCAGCAUAUACCAAGAGCACCCCAGGCUCUGGCAACUGAACCAGAAUGAGAUUACAUGCUAGCUUUUGCUCUUGAAACAUGCCUGACUUUCUGCUAAGCUAGCUUCUCUGCUGCCCUUGCCCCUGUGCUGUCCUUCCCUCCUCUUAAUGCUCCUGUAGUCGGGCCUGGUUAUGCACAGUUGAGACUUAAAAGCUCACUUCUUUCGCAGUGCAUCUCUCCCAAACACUUUCCCUCCACUGAUGGCAGCUUCUGGCUUACCACUUUGGGUACACAGAGAAUGAACUGUAGUAUCCAGUGAACUUUAGUAAAGAUAUGAAUGCUCUAUGACUAAUACAAUAUUUGUCGAUAAUCAUUUGGGUUUUCAAAAGGGAAACUUCAGUGAAAUGCUUUCCAAAUGUUUCCAUUUACAACCUUUAAUAUGUUCUAUGGACUUACGUUAAGGAUAAUUUUAAGAUACCAUUUUGUUUGAAAGUUUGCUGUGUCAGUGGGGUUUUUUGUUUUUAUUUUAGGGUAUGGGUGUUCUAGCUGGUUCUUCUCUACCUACUGUGUACAACAGGUUUGCUUUGCAAAUGAAAACUACCCAAAUUUGGGAUACUUAUAAAGCUGAGCUAGUGGAAAUGAAAAUAUGCUAUUAGAAAGAGAAGUCAUUAUGAGAACAAAAUGUAAGGCAGUAAGGAAAAUACUUUUUUUUCCAAGAACGAUUAACUCUGGUGAGAGCAGGCCCCAAGUCCUUAUGAGGCCUCUUCUGCUAAGGCUGCCUAAUGAAUUACCUGCACAACCUCCUAGCCCAUAUGUUCUGUUCUUUCAGUGCUGUUUGUUACACUUUGUUGAAUGAUAGUGCAAGUUCAGAUUUAGCUUGACUAGUAUUAGCUAAGUAGUUAUUAAGGGAAAACUGUGUAUUUGUAGAAUGAAAUACAACUAUUUUUUCUUACUAGCACUGCACAUAAACCACCUGCUCAAAAUUCUACUGUGGGGCAUAUCAGAAUCAUAGAAUCACAGAAUGGUGUGGAUUGGAAGGGACUUUUAAAGAUCAUCUGGUCCAACCCCCCUGCCACAGGCUUAAAUAUUCCAUAUUCUACUUAGAGUUACUGCUUUUUUUUUUUCACAGGAUGAAGACAUGAAGAGUACGUUUCAACAGCUACUUGCUCAGACAUGUGCCAGUAUGAACCCACCGCAAACAUCAAAGAUGCCAAUCACCACAAGAAAGCGUCUCCAUGAAAAUGAGGAAGAAUCUACUUCUUUGAAGCGUGCUGUUCCUUCUACAUCAUUGCAGAAAAUGAGGUGAAAAAAAAAAAGAGAAAGUGACUUUUGUUACUUACAGCUUUUUUAUGGAAAGCAGAUUUUUUUAUUUAAGAAAAAUCUUAAUAAUGGAAUAAAUGUUGAAGAUGCAAUUGCUAAAUAAAAAUAACUUUGUAAGACUCAA